GAAGAGAGGGAAAGAAAGGAAGAACAAACACUAGGUGAAGAAUUUGAAGAGAAAAAGUGUGGAAAAUCAAGGAAAAUAAGUGAAAAAGGUAAGAUUUUUCAAUUUAAACUUGAAAUCUAUUUUUCUUAAGCAUUUCUCCUUAUUUUUCAUGGUUAAAUUACAUGUUUUCAUGAUGAAUUCAUGGCUGGUCAAAAUGGGUAUGGAGAGAGAAAGAUGUUGGAUUGAAUUGAUUUUAAGAUAUGUUAGUGUUUUUAGUUAGUUUAGCAUAUUUAGAAGCAAAACAACAAGAAAGGAAUCUAUUUUCCCCAUGAAUCUUCAUGGCCGAAUCUUCCUUGAUGUGUGUGGGUGAUGGAUUGUUAUUAUUUCAAGAGAAAUGGCUUAGAAAAUGAUGAAUAAUGGUGAGAAAAUUAAGUAGGAAAAUCACGAUGUUAGUGCACUGUAAUAGCCGAAUUUUUCCAUGAAGAAAUGAGAGGGUUUUGAUGCUGAAAUUGAUGUUAUUUGAAUUGUAUUUAGUGAAUUGAGAUAUUAGAAAUGAAAUGGAGCAAUUUGGAGCCAAAUUGGACACAAUUGUCAUUUAAUUGGGUAAUAGGCCGAAUUAGGUCAGCAUCGCAUUUAAGCGGUAGUUGGAUAAGUUGUAUAUCAUAUCAUGCAUAUACACCGAGCCUAAAUUGAUUUAUAAUGGUCAAGCAUUAAUGUGGUGAAUUAUGUAUGGUACAUUGUGGAUAGGUGGUGAGCAAAUUACACUGGUAAAAGUACAGAGAUUGUGCUUGAAGACUGAGAUUAGGAGUACAUCGACUCUUAGAACUGUGAGUAAACUUAUUAUCGUCUUAAUUAUCGAGAGUGGUUUUAUACAAUUGUGUGAUUUUAUAGAAAAUGGGUUUAAAUGGUAAAUUGCUAUGUUUUAGAAGAAAUUGUGAUUUUAUAAAAUGCUUUUAUAAAUUUUCUGGAAAAUUGAAUACUGGUUUUGAAAAUAGAGUAAUUGGAGACUGCCUGCUUGCGUUAUAAAUUGUGUUUUAAAUUAUAUGGCUUAUAGCAAUAUGUGAGCAUGAAUGGCAAAGUCGGUAUUUGUAUCAAAAUUAUAUAUACUAUGUAUUCAGCCUUGAGAGGCUAGACUGCGAUAAAUUACCAUGUCAUGCAGAUAAUGAUUUUAUAAAUCAGGUGGUAGAUAAAAUAAUCCAUAAUCCCUGCAGUGGAGGUUCUGUGGACCAGCCUAAGAGAGGGGGCACAGAAUCAGAUAUACCUUACCUCGAUCGGAGAGCCGUAUGGAGGGUAUCUCUGAAGGUAAAGAUUUGAGUGCACUUCAGGUGGACCACCGUGUGAGAGUGAGACUCAACCAACACCAAAACAUGGCUAGAAUUUCGGAUGUAAAGACAUUUAACUGCCUUGGUGGUCUC
rnacentral:lncRNA from 1 species